rnacentral:rRNA from 1 species
CGGCGAGAUGCGGGUCUAAGUCCCUUGGAACGGGGCGUCAUAGAGGGUGAGAAUCCCGUACGUGACCGGUAAUCGAGCCCAUGUGAAACCCCUUCGACGAGUCGAGUUGUUUGGGAAUGCAGCUCAAAAUGGGUGGUAAAUUUCAUCUAAAGCUAAAUACUGGCCAGAGACCGAUAGCGCACAAGUAGAGUGAUCGAAAGAUGAAAAGCACUUUGGAAAGAGAGUCAAAAAGUACGUGAAAUUGUUGAAAGGGAAGCGCUUGCAACCAGACCUGUCCGUGGGGGAUCAGCCGUCCUUCUGGGCGGUGCAUUCUCCUGCGAUCAGGCCAGCAUCGGUUCAGGCGGCCGGAUAAAGGCCUUGGGAACGUAGCUCCUCUCGGGGAGUGUUAUAGCCCUUGGUGCAAUGCGGCCAGCCUGGACCGAGGACCGCGCUUCGGCUAGGAUGCUGGCGUAAUGGUUGUAAGCGGCCCGUCUUGAAACACGGACCAAGGAGUCUAACAUCUAUGCGAGUGUUUGGGUGUCAAACCCAUACGCGUAAUGAAAGUGAACGGAGGUGGGAACCCCUAGAGGGCGCACCAUCGACCGAUCCUGAUGUCUUCGGAUGGAUUUGAGUACGAGCAUAGCUGUUGGGACCCGAAAGAUGGUGAACUAUGCCUGAAUAGGGUGAAGCCAGAGGAAACUCUGGUGGAGGCUCGCAGCGGUUCUGACGUGCAAAUCGAUCGUCAAAUUUGGGUAUAGGGGCGAAAGACUAAUCGAACCAUU